UACGUAGGGUGCGAGCGUUGUCCGGAAUUAUUGGGCGUAAAGGGCUCGUAGGCGGUUUGUCGCGUCGGGAGUGAAAACACUGGGCUUAACUCAGUGCUUGCUUCCGAUACGGGCAGACUAGAGGUAUGCAGGGGAGAACGGAAUUCCUGGUGUAGCGGUGAAAUGCGCAGAUAUCAGGAAGAACACCAAUGGCGAAAGCAGCUCUCUGGGACGGUACUGACGCUGAGACGCGAAAGCGUGGGGAGCGAACAGG
rnacentral:rRNA from 1 species